UACGGGGGGGGCAAGCGUUGUUCGGAAUUACUGGGCGUAAAGAGCGUGUAGGCGGCCUGACAGGUCUGCUGUGAAAACUCGAGGCUCAACCUCGAGAUGUCGGCGGAAACCGUCUGGCUAGAGUCCGGAAGAGGAGAGUGGAAUUCCUGGUGUAGCGGUGAAAUGCGCAGAUAUCAGGAAGAACACCGGUGGCGAAGGCGGGUCUCUGGGCCGAUACUGACGCUGAGGAGCGAAAGCGUGGGGAGCGAACAGG
rnacentral:rRNA from 1 species